AGAGAAUUGCUUGAACCUGGGAGGCGGAGGUUGCUGUGAGCCGAGAUCAUGCCAUGGCACUCCGGCCUGGGUGACAGUG
rnacentral:snRNA from 1 species